ACUGAUUGUGAACUUUCGUCCUCUAGAACGGUGAGAGGAUCAACGCUGCUUGAAGCCACCAGUUUCUGGGAAUUUGUCACAGCAGCCCAGGAAACAGAUGCGCAAGGUUUGGAGAUUGGUCUUUCCAUGUCUAGGGUGCAUGGUGCCCAUUUCAACACUGUCUGCCCUCAGUGGCACAUUUGGGCUACGUUGACUUCGGCAAUGGUGAGGGAAAUGCAAAGCCAAAGCCCAACAAAGCAAUUUGAAAUUCCAAACCUGCGACCACUGGACAAGAUCACCUUUCUCCCACUGAGAAGCAGAUCAGCAUUGGCUCAGGCUGAGUCUGGGAGACAGACAAGGUCUCCUUUCAACAUCGUGCCUCCAGGGAAACCAGGCCAACUAUCGGCCCUCCAGAGGCAGCUGCAACCCUUGGAGACCUCCCCACUGAGUCCAUACCCCUGGCCCAGGGCACUCAGGCUGCUUGACCAGCCCUGCCCCCUGGCCAGCCUCAUUUCCUCCUGUUCUCUUGCUUGGUGCCCCUAGCAGCAGUCUUGCACCUGGUCCACUGCCUCCCACGCCAGGGCCUUUGCCUUCGCUGUUCCCCUGCCUGGCAUGGUCUUGUCAUUCAGGGCUCAGCCUGAAUGUCACCUCCUCCUGGAAGCCUUCCCCUUGUCUCAUUAUGUCCUACCCUAUCACCCUGUUUCUUUCCCUUGGGUCACCAGUAAGAACCUGGAUUGAGUGUGUGCAGCUGUCUUUUCUUGUCUUUGCCUCACUAAACUGUAAACCCUUUGACAAUAGGGAUCUGUCUGGUUUGUCUGCCGUGUAACCCCAGCUUCCAGCCUAGCACAGAGAAGGCUCCAUGGAGACACUGACUGUCAGAUGACUGCAGACCUCCCCACAAGGAGGAGGGAAGCUGGCCUCCAAGGAGGCGUAUCCCACGGUGCAGUGGUCUCUGGCCGGGGUGGGU
rnacentral:lncRNA from 1 species